UCAGGGGAAGCUGAAUUUCUUCUCACUUCAGUGAGAAGAUGCAUUUAUACAGAUUAAUAAAUACUUCCAUAUGAUACCAGUGUGAUAAAACCAUUAAAAUUCACAUAAUCUUUAAAUUAUUUUUAAAAGUGUCAGACAAUACAUACCAUUAGGCACAGAGAUAUAAAAAGGCGCUGAACAAAUCAUGAUGGCACUAUAUCUGUCCUUUCUUGCAGAAUACUUAUAUUCAAGGAAUAUAUAUUUAAACUGAAAUUGGUGCAUGAAAAGGAACAACCAGAUCCUCCUUUCUAAAGAGACAUUAAAAGGUUUUGACUUGCUCACAUCAAAGAAAUGGAGAUCAGAAGUUACUUAAACUAAAUGCAAUACUGUCACAAGGUUAAAACAAAACACAGGAAAACCCAAAGCAAACAAAACAAAACAGAAAAAGGAGACAAAACCAUGUUCUGGAAUAUAUUUCAAACAGGAAUAGCAGGAAUACCUAUCAGGCCUUGAGAGACAGCCUAACCAGCUUGUGACAGGAAACAGGGCUCUAUAUUCCAGAUGUUCCCCUAUAUUCCAUUUCGCCAUGAAGUCAUAGUCUCUUCCCUUCUUCUGUCCAUCAAAGUUUUAAUUAUUCCAGAUGAGGUUGAUGAUGAAUGAGGUUAUUUGAUCUGGAGACGAGGAGGCUCAGGAGGGACCUCAUUGCUCUCUGAAAGGAUGUUGUAGUGAGUGGAGAGUUGACCUCUUCUGCCAUGUCUCAAGUGAAAGGAUGAGAGGAAAUGGUCUCAAGAUGUGCCAGGGAAUGUUUAGAUUAGGUAUUAGGAGAAAAAAAAAAGUCACUGAAUAACUGGUCAGGCACUGGAAAAAGUUGGGAGAUGUUAGGGUCACUGUCUCUGGAAGUCUUCAAGAGGCAUCUGGAUGUGGCACUUGGGGAUGCAUUUUAGGGGUGAUUAUGGUGGGUUGGUGGUUGAACUGGGUGAUUUUUAAGGUCUCUUGCAACCUUGAUGAUUCUGUGAUUCUGUGAAACGCGUGGAAUAGGGAUGAAAACAAGGCCACCCUCAGCUUGCUAAUUAAUGCCAAGCUAUUAAGGUACACGUGCCAGAUGCAGGCUCAAAUACCUUUUGAGACAAUCUGUCGAAGUUGCUGGGAUUAUUCUAUGUCUCUCACUAGAAAUUAUUUCCAAGCUUAAAACCAGAAACCAGCUCAGGGCCUUGUAUACCUUUGCAGCUCUCUUUGUGAGCAUGUGUCAGAAAGGAGCAGGGUUUAGGACAAAUUCUUCUGUUUUCACAUUUUAUCUAGUAGUGCACCACUUGUGGAGUUCUCCAGGUGAGAACUUUAUAAUUGUAUCCAAGAACAGAAUACUUAACUUUCUCCAUUUCUCCAUUUCUCCCAGCCAUUGGAGAUGCAAAUGAACACAGAUAUUCUGCUAGGAGCAAUAAAUUCCACUAGAUGUCAGCGUAUGUAAAAAUUAGGCGCUGCCGUUAUAAUCCAACAUAUACUUAAGGGCCUUGCCAAGUCGUUAUCCAUGUUAUCCACUGGGCUCUUGGAAUGAUCUGCUUGACUGUUCUUGUAUUUGUAUUAACUCAAAGAUGCACAUAGCAGCACUUAACACAAAGGCAUGCCUCCUGUGGAUUAUGAUGUAAUCUAAAUAAGCAGUCAAAUACUUAUAAACACAGUUGAUCUUGAUUUUCUGCAAGUUGCCUUCACCAAUAUUUUUUAUCUCUUAGCUCUUAGAAAACUGAAUUUUUGAUAUUUUUCUUACUACAAUUAGACAGAAAACUGAAAUUUUGAUGUAUUUUUUACUACAAUUAGACCUUUCUAAGAAGGGGUAGAAGCUACUUUGAAAAGGAAAGUGAUAUUUACUUUCUUUUAACAGGAACGGAGAUUCUGUAAUCCUCAGAAUCUUGAGGAAGGCAGAAUUUCUUACUGGACAUGGUAAACUUGUCCAGUAGUAGCUCUUUCCAGGUAUUUUGUGUUCUCAUUUGCUGGGAAAGGAGAAGAGUAGGAGCUAAACAUCCAAGGUAACAGUGUAAUUAUCUUUGGUUGAGGCAAAAGACCAGAAAUAAUCAACUGGGCAUCUCAAGCUUUUCUGUUAGCCAAGAAUAUUAUUUCCUGGCCAUUUCAUGAAUCUUGCUCUAAAGAAAAGAGAAUUAGCAUCAACAUAGGUUUCCUGUAUUUAUCUCUGUAUGGUGUCUUUAACAAACAUGAAUUAAACUUGUAGCACUUCUGUGAGGCAAAAAUUACUGACCACAAAUGUAGAGACAAAAUUCAGCAAGUUUGAUGUCUGUUCCACUUGAAAUAUGAAUUUUCACAAUACAGGAGAUAACUCAUAAUACUCGGAAGGCUCAGCAGUUCACUCUUAGGGAUUUUGGUUUCAUUUAGGAGUGCUCUGAACUUCUGAGCAUUCAGAGGUGUCUCAAGUCAGGCAAGUAAAAGUUCAGAAUAGAGGGGUAGUGGGACUUGCCUGUGGAGAGUUUGUCACUACUUUGAAGAGAUGAAUAAGCACACUCUAUGGAAAGGAACUGGGAGAUAAUAGGGCAUUCUAGGACUUCUCUCCCUGCCACUCCACCCUCCCAAAAAAACCAUAAUAUCUAUGCUUCUGAAAUUUAAAGCAGUAGCCUUAGGCAUUCUGGAAUUAAUAACUUGGUAUGGCACUGUGAAUUUGGUAGUACCACUAUCCAUCAAAUACAAUAAUUAAAUCACAUUAGUCACUCAGAACACAAAAGAGUAAAAGAUGGUGACUGAGCAGGGUUCUGUCCUUCAACACAUAAUCUCAUUUUGACUCACCAUUUAUAGAGCUCUUAGGCUUUGGUGAGACUCAAUGCCACUGACAUUACCUCUAAAACAGAGGUUGGAUACAAGUGAUAGAUUUCUGAGAGGCACUGCUAGACCUCUCUGCUGUAUCUUGUAAUGGAUUAUCUCUUAAUCGUAAUUUUAGACUCAUGAGCAACUGCAUUCCAAUUAUAUGUAGCUAGUGAGAGUUUUCACUUAGUACUGAAAAAGUGGAGAUUUUAAAAUUGUGCUCAGUAUUUCAGUACUUUUGAAAACCCUCAGAUGUUCAGCUCCCAACCCUCUGGAUGCAUAUGCAAGGAACAUUUAUGACUUUUUACUUGAAAAUUCUCUUCAUAGAAUAUGGAAUCUUUUUUUUUUUUUCAUAUCCAUUUCUCUACUGUACCCAUUUCUCUACUGAAAAAAAAAUCUCUAAAACAUCAGUCAGUUCCUACCCUUUUCAGUUCUUUUUUAUUUGUGCAGAUAAUGGGAAGAAUGUUUAAAAUAAUCUGAAGAGCAUGGCUGGUAAAAAUGAGGUAUAACUAAAGAGAAUACAGUAGUAUCUCAGAAAUAGAUGAAAAAGCUGUGCCUAGAGAGCAAAGGACUGGAAAAAUGCCAUUUGAAAAAUCUCUAAAAGUGAGCAUCUAGAUGAAGCUGAGGCAGCAUGUGCACCUGGCAGCAAAAUCAGAUUUUCUAAGCAUAAUAUUCGCCAACAUUUUACUCUGAAAUAUCUGUUAUUUCCUGCACACUUCAAGCUAAAAUAAUAAAUGCUUGCAGAAAGCCAGAAGAAACCUUUUGAAACUAUGCAGAAUCUGGCAUUUGCUUUUGGUUUUGGUUGGUUUGGGGUUAUUGUUGUUUUUGUUGGGGUGUUAGGCUUUUUGUCCUUGGUUUUCUUUAUAGCAAGCCCUUGCUUUUUAAAGAGAUAUGCUCUUAGCAAUGGUAAACUAAAAUUUAAAUAGACAGUAGCUUUCAAACCAGAUCAUAUCUGUAGGUCUGUUUCCAAAGUGCCUAAUGAAGUAGAUGAAAUAUCCUGGAAAAUCUCCCCAGGCCAUGAUUUAAUGUAUUUUAUAUAUAUUAAUAAGUAUAUGAAUGAAAUCUUAUUUUAUAAAUACUAAAUUUCAUCAUUCUUUUUGAAAAUAUCCAGUUGGCGUUCAUUAUCCUUGAUAUUUAACUAUCAUUUUAACUAGAGUAGAAUAGAAGAGGGUAGAAUAGAAUUUCUCACAGUGGUCUGCUUCUGUGAAAUGUCUGAUUAUUCUAAAGGUUAAAAAGGUGUUAUUUUUUUUUUACUUUCACACUGGAAACACAGAGCCUUUAGUAUACUGAUGGCAUUGUUACAUCAUACUGAUGGAAUUUAUGUUUCUUUUGUUAAUCCUGCCAGGUUGCAGUGGGACAGAGAAGAGACUGUAUAGUUUUGGUGGUUGAAAUGGGCAGGAUACUCUUUUAAAUCCUCUCAGCAGCACACAGCAGAAAAUAGUGGAGGUGCUUUUAGUGAUUUACAGUGGUCAGUAGGAUUUUGUGGCUGUGUCAAAAAACCUGCACCUUUUACAUCACAGUAGUGAGAAGGAGACAGAACAUUAGAAGAGCAUCUAAUUUUGGUUAGUUAGCUCUCCAUCAUUUGGUAUGGAUGACAGCAUCUGACAGAAGGAUCGAAAAGAUAAAAGGACCUCUUUAGGAUGAACAAUUUCCUUUCAUGGUUGAAAAUAUACUUUAAUGUUUAAAAGCGCUUAAGAGACUACAUAGAGAGUAGAGUGGGAAUAAUUGCUACAAUACUUUUUUGGAAAGCCAUAUUAGCUGUUCUUCAUAUCUGUUUUAUUUCAGAACAUAGACAUAGAAUUGUUUAGGCUGGAAAAUACCUCUAAGCCAUCGAGUCCAGCCAUUAACUGCUGCUCAAGAGUGUGAAGGAGCUGGUAUGGACAAGACACAGAUUUGCUGUGUAUCAUGACCCUUUGAUAUUGAAGAACUAUGAAGGACAUGGACAAAGGCCGAGAAAGCAUAGAAAGAACAGUUUGUUAAAAGACAAAAUUGGACACAAUAUUUAGGUUUUGUAAAACUACAUUUUACUAGGUCAUGAAUUUCAUUACUUUCUCCUAAUCUUCAGCAAGCAACUUACUGCCAGCUACUGUGUACCACUAAGAAGACUGCAAAGGUAUUUCUUUCAGAUGACAAGGCCACAAAAAAAGCUCGUAUUUCACUUUGAAUUAUUUACUUUUCACUAAAAAUGUGCUUCUACAAAAAUGUACUGGCAAAAUUCUCAAAAUGCCAGAGCCAAAUUCUCAUACUAACUGCUUCAGCAUGUUCACUACCUCAUUUAGAGUGAAGGACAACAAAGCCACUGGAGAAUGGUUCAUCUGCAGCUAAACAGCCUCCCUCUUUAUAGCCCUUGUCAGUCUACAGUUCAUGCAUUCUGGAAACAAAGAUUUCUCCCAAUAAACAUUUUAUUUGAAAAAACAUCAUCCAAGAAGUAACUCAAAAUACAGAGUGGAGUAGUAAAAAAAAAAUACAUUUUGAGAGCUAAUUUUCUUUAGAAAUUCUGGAAUAAACCUUUUCACACUUCAUCACUAUUGCAAGAUAUUAAUCUGCCCUGCACCAGAGAAAGCUUCUAUUCAUUUUUUGGGUUUUGGAGUUUUUUGG